CACGUAGGGCGCAAGCGUUGUCCGGAAUUAUUGGGCGUAAAGAGCUCGUAGGCGGUCUGUUGCGUCCGCUGUGAAAACCCAGGGCUCAACCCUGGGCCUGCAUUCGAUACGGGCAGACUAGAGUUCGGUAGGGGAGACUGGAAUUCCUGGUGUAGCGGUGAAAUGCGCAGAUAUCAGGAGGAACACCGGUGGCGAAGGCGGGUCUCUGGGCCGAAACUGACGCUGAGGAGCGAAAGCGUGGGGAGCAAACAGG
rnacentral:rRNA from 1 species